rnacentral:rRNA from 1 species
UACGUAGGGACCAAGCGUUGUCCGGAAUCAUUGGGCGUAAAGAGCGUGUAGGCGGCUUGUUAAGUCUUGCGUGAAAUCUCGGGGCUCAACCCCGAGCGGUCGUGAGAAACUGGCAGGCUAGAGUGCGGGAGAGGAGAGUGGAAUUCCUGGUGUAGCGGUGAAAUGCGCAGAUAUCAGGAGGAACACCGGUGGCGAAGGCGGUUCUCUGGGCAUUACCUGACGCUGAGGAGCGAAAGUGUGGGGAGCGAACAGG